AUUGAACGCUGGCGGCAUGCUUUACACAUGCAAGUCGAACGGUAACAGGUUAAGCUGACGAGUGGCGAACGGGUGAGUAAUGCAUCGGAACGUGCCCGGUCGUGGGGGAUAACGCAGCGAAAGCUGCGCUAAUACCGCAUACGAUCUGAGGAUGAAAGCGGGGGACCGUAAGGCCUCGCGCGAUCGGAGCGGCCGAUGCCAGAUUAGGUAGUUGGUGGGGUAACAGCUCACCAAGCCAACGAUCUGUAGCUGGUCUGAGAGGACGACUAGCCACACUGGGACUGAGACACGGCCCAGACUCCGACGGGAGGCAGCAGUGGGGAAUUUUGGACAAGGGGCGAAAGCCUGAUCCAGCAAUGCCGCGUGCAGGGAGAAGGCCUUCGGGUUGUAAACUGCUUUUGUACGGAGCGAAAAGGUCUCCUCUAAUACAGGGGGCUCAUGACGGUACCGUAAGAAUAAGCACCGGCUAACUACGUGCCAGCCGCCGCCUAA
rnacentral:rRNA from 1 species